rnacentral:rRNA from 1 species
UACGGGGGGGGGCAAGCGUUUGUUCGGAAUUACUGGGCGUAAAGGGCUCGUAGGUGGCCAACUAAGUCAGACGUGAAAUCCCUCGGCUUAACCGGGGAACUGCGUCUGAUACUGGAUGGCUUGAGUUUGGGAGAGGGACGCGGAAUUCCAGGUGUAGCGGUGAAAUGCGUAGAUAUCUGGAGGAACAUCAGUGGCGAAGGCGGCCUUCUGGACAGUUACUGACGCUGAGACGGCGAAAAGCGUGGGGGAGCAAACAGG